UACGGGUAUCCAUUAGGAUCGAUCUCAAACUUUUUCUUCUUGUAUGAGAUUCUUCUUCUCAAGAAGAAACUUGACCUUGAAGAUUUUGAUAAACUUCUUUGAUCUUAAUUGCGAGAUCAACUCCUUGAUCUGCAGCCUUCUUCUUCCUCUCCUCGAUCCUUGAUCUCUAAGUCACCAGAACUUCUUCUAGAUGUGUGGAAGA
rnacentral:lncRNA from 1 species